GGGCCCCACCGCGGCCUCCUGACGUGGCGAGCCGAAAGAUGCUGCAACCACGGACAGCGCCCAGAAGAUGCUAGGAUUAUGUGGCAUACAGAAGAGCCAGGGAGCAAGAAGAUGGCAGGGACCCUUCUGUGACAAGGAGAGACUCAACCACCUAUUGAAAGCAGGAAGAAGGUGAUGGGUUACAAAGCCUGAGUGAGCUGAGGCUUAGAUUCCAACGGACUUUGGCAGCAGAGUCAUUGGAAGCAUGACCUUGAAGGGGGCUGUGGAACCCUGGUCUCUUCCUGCUUCACUUUUCAUCCUGGAUCAUGAACUGAGGGUUUUUCUCCACCAUAAUGUG